GCCCUCGUAGCUCAGUGGAUAGAGCAAGGGAUUUCUAAUCCCUGGGCCGUAGGUUCGAUCCCUACCGAGGGCG
rnacentral:tRNA from 5 species